rnacentral:pre_miRNA from 2 species
CUGAACACCGGCUCCUGAUUGUCCAAACGCAAUUCUUGUGUCUGCGCCCAAGAAUUGAGUGUGGACGUCGUGAGCCGGGGUUUCCU